AUUGAACGCUGGCGGCAGGCCUAACACAUGCAAGUCGAGCGAGCGGCGGACGGGUGAGUAAUGUAUGGGGACUGCCCGAUAGAGGGGGAUAACUACUGGAAACGGUGGCUAAUACCGCAUACUGUCGGAGAACCACAAUGGGAUUAGCUAGGGGGUAAGGUAAGGGCUUACCUAGGCGACGAUCCCUAGCUGGUCUGAGAGGAUGAUCAGCCACACUUGGACUGAGACACGGCCCAGACUCCUACGGAGGAAGCAGUGGGGAAUAUUGCACAAUGGGCGCAAGCCUGAUGCAGCCAUGCCGCGUGUAUGAAGAAGGCCCUAGGGUUGUAAAGUACUUUCAGUCGGGAGGCGUUACCGACAGAAGAAGCACCGGCUAACUCCGUGCCAGCAGCCGCGGUAAUUC
rnacentral:rRNA from 1 species